UACAGAGGUGGCAAGCGUUGUUCGGAAUUACUGGGCGUAAAGGGCGCGUAGGCGGUUCGUUAAGUCCUGUGUGAAAUCCCCCGGCUCAACUGGGGAACUGCACAGGAAACUAGCGGGCUUGAGUUCGGGAGAGGGAAGCGGAAUUCCGGGUGUAGCGGUGAAAUGCGUAGAUAUCAGGAGGAACACCGAUGGCGAAGGCAGGUCUCUGGGCCACUACUGACGCUGAGAAGCGAAAGCAUGGGGAGCGAACAGG
rnacentral:rRNA from 1 species